ACAAAUCAUUUCUUAAUUCCAAAGUAUCGUCAGCCGGGGUAAGAUUGUGCCAUCUAACCCGUAAUUCGUCAGUCAUCUCUUCCGUGUUCAAAGAUUGAUUGUUCUUGGUUAAGUAUUUAUUCAAGAAAGAUUGUGUGAUCGCCAUGGGAUGGUUUACAAAUUAUGGGUUUGUAUGCCACAAUCUCACCCCGGCUUACGGUAACUUAAAAGAUUAAUGUAUCGGACUAUUUCGGCAGUGCUUUUUUUUGGCAAGUCAGGCAUUAGACUACCGUAAAGCGCCCUAUUUCUGCGCGGUUCUUAAUUUUGCGCACUUCAUAUUAAAAUGUUAAAAAAAUAUCAAAUAAAAGCAGAUUUUCAAAAAUGAUGUUUGGAAGUGAUUUCCUAUGUAUAACUGUUAACUUUCUGCCUAGGUUUUCUUUUUUACUAAACAGCAUUAACAUUUUGAUACUAAGUGCACAGUAUUAAGAGCCGUGCAGAAUUAGGGCGCCUCACGGUACUGUAAAAAAUUAUCGAAGAAUCCACUGCCGUGGUAGUCCAAUACCUUAUUCAAAAUAAUAUAAGUAAGCGAAACAUGCAUAGUUGAUCAUGUUUUGAAUACUAACCUUGUACCGGUGUUAUCAGCGUGGGAAUGGAAAGGGAUGGGUUUACUGACCACUAUACUAUCGAGGCAUGCGGAUUUGUGCUGCUGUAAGGCUAAAACAUUGAAUUAGCAAUAAACAGUUGAUAUUUAAGAAAAUUUAAUAUCAAUCAAUCAAGAAUAAUUUGGAGUUAACCCUCUGGUGCCCAGUGCCGUCUUCAGGCGGUCUUCAGUUGAACCUAAACAGCUUCAAUAAAUACUUGAAAAAUGUUUGUAAAGAUUCAUAGUGAUUUUUCGAAGUCCGUCUAAAAACUAAUUUGGGCACUAGAGGGUUAACAUGUUAAGAGACAACAAUUUAUAAGAUUUACCACAUUAAAGCUAUUUUUUUCAGUAACUUACAGCAGCACGAUGACGUUAUAUUGUAUUUUAUUUUAAGUCCAGCUCACUUGUAAAUGUUGACUUAGCACCAUGUCAGUCAAUGUUUGUUUCUACUGGACAAGACUAAAGCUGAUCAUCUGCAAAGAUGUCCGUAUCAUAUCGGGCUUCUUUCUCGCAAAAUUAGCGACAAUUCUUCGCUGCUAAAAUAAUUGUUUGUUUUUUUAUUAGAUCAUUACCUGAUACCAUUUUAUCUUUUCAGGCUAAAGCAUGCUGUUAUGGAAUCUGCGGUUUAAUAUAGGGAAAUCGUCAGCAGUUCAGGAUAGUUUGAAUAAUGUUUAAUAAGUUGGAACCUGUGUUGAACUUUCACUUGCAAUGAUUCUACGAGAGAAUAUCUACACCUCACAACGCUUCUACGUAAAAAACAAUCAGGGUUAACCAGCUUUUUAAAACAUAAAUGGUGGAAUUUUAACUGCACCCACUAAUUUCGGAGCCGGAUUUACUGUGAAGAUUGACUUUCAACACGAAGCCAUUUUCUUCAGCAGGCCAGGCAAAGACGACGGAAACGGAGUUUCAUAGCGAACCGGGGUGCAACAAGUGGACAAUACCAAAACAACUGGCAAUUUACAUCAAUUAUUCGAUGUGAAGGUAUCCGAUGUGAAGAAAACGAAAAGGUCGUUCGUGCUUGGAUAUGAUUUGCUAAACGUCUUAAGUUGUCAAAUCAUCCCUCUGUUCAAAAGUGCAUGACUACUACUACUGAUUAUGUUUCAAAAUCUACAAUCGUUGUUGGCACGGCAGAACAAAGGCUUGGCGGUUUACAGGAAUGGAACUGGAUAAUUCAAAGUGACUGUCUAAUUCGAAGUCUUCAUUCACUGAGAUCUAAGAUGUUGAAGUUGGAAUCUGAAAAAUGAAAAUGUCGUUUGGUCACUCAAAAAAUCAGGUUACAGGAUUGUUUGAAAAUCAUUGCGAUCAACUAUUUCGAAGCUGUAAUUGUUGAACUGGAUUUGAUUAUACCUGAAGUAAUGUUCGCAUGCAAAUAUUGAUCAAUGGCACAGUAAAUAUUACGAAGUUUGAUGCGAUGCCAAAGUAUUCAUCGAUUAAUCGCCUUCAAGAAAUUCAGCAAGUCGUUACUUUUGUAGGGGUAUGUGGCGGGACCAUCAUCAUCAAAACCUUCUACUGUAAUACUUAAAAGCGUGACGCUGUCGGUGCGUUGCGACAAAUGUAAGUAAUAUAGUGAACGUCUCUUAUUAUCACAAAUUUUCUAUGAUGAACAAAACAAAUCCUUACCUACAUUAAUUGAGUAGCAAUGAAAAAAAAAAACAAUUAUUCUGACCUCAAUUUUAUUUGCAACUUUUUAGUCUCUCUUGUAUUAUUCUGAAAAUUAGAUUUGUUUUUGUUUUCCAGGUGUGACUUCAGUGGAAUGAUAAAUGAUUUUCCUAAAUGUUAUAAAUG